UCCUCAAUUCAUUCCCUCACAGCUUCUCCAGAUCUCCACGUUCGUUCAAGACAAAGCCCGUGGAAAUCACACAGAAACACCGCCUUCUGUUCGGAAAAAGAGAGAAGAGAUCGGCGAUGUCAAAGCCCGACCAUGAGUCCCUGAGCCACGAGGAGGCGAAGCGCAAUAAGAGGAUGAAGUGGACGAUCGGCAUCACUGCCUUCGUCAUCUUUCAGGUCGUCGUGGCCGUCUUCUUCGUCCUAGUCAUCAUGAAGUUCAAGUCCCCCAAGUUCAGGGUCGGCGAGUUCGACGUCCAGACCUUGAACGUCGGGACUCAGGCGUCGCCCUCGUUCGACAUGAGCUUCGUUGCUCCCAUCCGGAUCAAGAAUACCAACUGGGGUCCCUUCAAGUACGAUGCGACUACGGUGAGCUUCAUUUACGGAGGCGUUCAGGUAGGGCAAGCAACGAUUCCAAAGAGCAAGGCCAACUUCAAGUCCACCAAGAAGAUCGAUGUGAACGUGACCUUGAGCUCCACUAGCAGUUCGAAUCUAGGGAGCUCGGAACUCAUAACGUUGAACAGCCAAGGCGAGCUCAAAGGGAAGGUGACAGUUAUGUUCAUGUUCAAGAAGACGAAGGUGUCCCAGAUGAAUUGCACUAUGGCUGUCAAUACGACAACGAAGGCAAUCCAGUCCUUGUCAUGUAAAUAAGAGAUGCGAUGCGAGCAUGUGAUUUUUUAAAUUUUUUGAUAUGCCGGAUUGAGUUAUUCAUUUGAAUUUUGUAUUAGUAGAAAUGUUCAAUUUUUUUAGAUUAAUUUAUAUGAUGUUUACUAUGUGAGUAUUAUUCUUCAUUUAUUUGAAGUCAUUUUCGAAAUCGAUCUUACUACAUGAAGUGGAUGAGCAAACCCUAUCUCAUUCUCUAGUGGGGCCAUCAAACAAAUGGGUCAAUUCAGAAAUGAAAUCUUGACCCAUUUUUAUCUGGCUUGACCCGCACCCAAUCCAUAGUCAGACUGAACUAGGGCUAAAAUUCUUAGUAAUUUUUCUCCUUCAAUCAUUCCCUUUCUAAAGUGGAUGUCUCUAUGGAUUGGCUCACCCAUUUGGGGAGGGAGCUUGGGUUGGGUCGUGGGUAGGACUUUGAAUGGCAACCGAGGGCGUGUAUGAUAACCAUUAUAUUUCUAUUCUAGAACGAUUUUUCUGUUUCAGAUUUUUUUCUGGAAUAGAAAUCUAUUUAAUAACCUAAUUUCAUUUUUUCCAUUACUAGAACAAAUUUUUACUCCAGAAAUAUGUUUGGAACAGAAAUAAGAAGUAAAAUUUUUCUAUUUCUCUAUUUUUGGAAGAGAAAUGAGAAAUAAAAACUUUUUUUGUCGCUUGUCUUCGUUACUAGAUGGCUGUUGCUCCUCAACAUCUACCGCAGCUGUUGCCUCACUCACCUUGCCGCCGCCAGUCGUAGUCCACCGUCGCCCGGGAGGGAGAAAUUAUGUGUUGUUAUAAAACAAAUUUCAAUUUCGAAAAUAAAAAUUUUGUGUCAUAUCGAAUGUGUAUUUUUGUUCAAAAUCUCAGCCAAGAAUAUAAAUAGAAAAAUAUGUUUCUGUUCUAAAAAUCAAUUCUUAAUUAUAAUGGUUAUCAUUCGUGUCUUGAGCAACAAUGUGGGUGAGUGACGCACUGAUGUAUAAGCGGACAGGGCCAGGGAUUGGAUUACGGACCCGGGGAGGUGGGGUGUGUGAGAGGAGGCGAGGUAAAAGGUGGCAUAUCUCACUCGGAUGACGAGCAAGCCCUCGCUCUCGUGAACCAAUUUGCUUUCAGACAUUAGCCAACCACCGUGGCCUAAGUACAACUAUUGAUGGAUAUGCCACCAACGAUAGUUUAUCCUUGGAGUAGAGAGUUGGAAAGUAAGCAUCAAAUUAUUAGCACUCAUCAUUGGUUUAAUGUCUGAGAUUUAGAUCUGUUAAACUGGUGGUAUCUGAGAUUUAGAUCCGUUAAUAGGUGGGUUGGGAUAGAUUUGGGUUCAUCAAAAAAUAGGUUCAACAAAUUGAACCAUUUUUUGUAAUAUAAUUUUAGUGACAACACAUGACCCAACCCAUUUGACUAAAUCAAGCUACAAGACACAUUUCUUGUUAUCUCUUCUGGCGCGAACGAAUUCUUCUUUAAAAGAAUGCUAUUCUUUUACUUGUUUAUCCAUACGCCAUUGUGGUGUUUUCUAUAAUGCCUACAAGAAGAUUCUUUUGAUUAUAACAAUUUGCCAUGAACUGGACUGGUCUAGUUAUUAUCUCCCUAGAAAUUAAGAUGGUAAGAAACAGCAAUGUGACGGUCCAAGUAGGAUUUUGGGACAACUGCUUUCUUUGGCCAAAACGUAAAAACCUUUUAAGCCUUACCCUUCUUUCCUGGCAAGCAAAAUAGAGAACUGAGUAAUCGAAACAAUUUUCUUGUAUUGAAGAAGUAGAUAUAAAUCAUCUUUUUUCUGGAGUGAUUGGCAAAUUUAAAUGGGGAGGGAUUGGUAGCGGCAUAGAAUAUAGGCGGCCAAUUCGCAAAAGUGAUCUUGGCAAAGAUAUACUCACGAAAGAUAUAUCAACAAAAGGCCUAUCCAAACUAACGGCAAAACUAACAUUUAACCAACAUGAAAUGGCAGCUUGGUAGCCAUAUGUGGCGGCAGCGCUCUAUAUAGCGCAUUCUACUAUUCAUGUUACAACGAAAACAGGGUCGAAAUGAGUACAUAUUUUGUGUAUAUGUAGUUAACCAUUCAUUCUACGGGCUAUUCGAGCCCCUUCUUAAAAUGAUAGACGACCCAUUUCAAAGAAUCCGAGGAGAACUUUGAACAGUGAAAGGGGAGAAUCCGAACCUUCGUGUGUGAAAUUAAGACAAAAGGUAAUGAUCAUGCCAAUUCACUAACUUCUGCUGAUUAUAAAAAUAACAACGGUCACGCGGACAUGGCCAGCAUCGGCGGACGCGGACCUCGACUAUGUAUUAAUCAACACGAGAUUGACGAACGUUCUCUUCUUAACAAUCAUUAAAAAGACGAAGUUAACUGUUCCGUUUGCUAAGUUGACCAAACUUUAGAGUCCUCAAAAGUCAAGAAACUCAAGCUCUCUCUCUCUCUCUCUCUAUCUAUAUAUAUAUAAAAAGAUUAGAGAAACUCGCGUUCGUCUAGAAAGUUAGAAUUACAACAAUGGAUGACUUUUUGCGUGUGGACUAGAAUGAGAUCUUCAGGGAAGGAGACAGUGGUCGUGAAAAGUAGUCUUCCCGGAGGCACCGAAGUAUCUAUAUAAACGACCGCCUCCUCAAUUCAUUCCUCACAGCUUCUCCACAUCUCCAAAUUCUUUUAAGACAACACCAGUUACAAUCGCGCAAGAUACUGCCUUCUGUUCGGAAAGAGAGAAGAGAUCGGCAAUGUCAAAGCCCGACCACGAGUCGCUGAGCUAUGCCGACGAGGAGGCGAAGCGCAAGAAGAGGAUGAAGUGGACGAUCGGCAUCACCGCCUUCGUCAUCCUCCAGGUCGUCCAGGUCCUCUUCUUCGUCCUGGUCAUCAUGAAGUUCAAGUCACCCAACUUCAGGGUCGCCGAGUUCGAUGUCCAGACCUUGAACGUCGGGACUCAGGCCUCGCCCUCAUUCGACAUGAGCUUCGUCGCCCCUAUCCGGAUCAAGAACACCAACUGGGGUCCCUUCAAGUACGAUGCAACUGCAAUCGACUUCACUUACGGAGGCGUUCAGGUUGGGCAAGCGACGAUUCCAAAGAGCAAGGCCAACUUCAAGUCCACCAAGAAGAUCGAUGUGAGCGUGAGCUUGAGCUCCAGUGCUUUGACUAGCAGUUCGAAUCUGGGGAACGAAUUGAGCUCGGGACUCAUAACUUUGAACAGUCAAGGAGAGCUUAAAGGGAAGGUCACGGUCAUGUUCAUGUUCAAGAAGACGAAGACAUCCCAGAUGAAUUGCACAAUGACUAUCAAUACGACAACGAAGGCAGUCCAAUCCUUGUCAUGUAAAUGAGAGAUGCAGUGCGAGUGUGUGAUUUUUUAAAUUUUUCGAUAUGUGAAGUUGAAUUAUUCAUUUGAAUUUUGUAUUAAUAGAAAUGGUAAAUUUUUUAGAUUAAUUUAUACGGUG
rnacentral:lncRNA from 1 species